AACCAACAGGGAUUGCCCUAGUAACGGCGAGUGAAGCGGCAACAGCUCAAAUUUGAAAUCUGGCUCCUUUGGGGCCCGAGUUGUAAUUUGUAGAGGGUGCUUUGGCGUUGGCCAUGGUCUAAGUUCCUUGGAACAGGACGUCACAGAGGGUGAGAAUCCCGUACGUGGCCGCUGGCCUUCGCCAUGUAAAGCCCCUUCGACGAGUCGAGUUGUUUGGGAAUGCAGCUCUAAAUGGGAGGUAAAUUUCUUCUAAAGCUAAAUAUUGGCCAGAGACCGAUAGCGCACAAGUAGAGUGAUCGAAAGAUGAAAAGCACUUUGGAAAGAGAGUCAAAAAGCACGUGAAAUUGUUGAAAGGGAAGCGCUUGCAGCCAGACUUGCCCGUAGUUGCUCAUCCAGGUUUCGGCCUGGUGCACUCUUCUGCGGGCAGGCCAGCAUCAGUCCAGGCGGUCGGAUAAAGGUCCCGGGAAUGUGGCUCUCUUCGGGGAGUGUUAUAGCCCGGGGCGUAAUGCGGCCAGCUUGGACUGAGGUCCGCGCAUUUGCUAGGAUGCUGGCGUAAUGGCUGUAAGCGGCCCGUCUUGAAACACGGACCAAGGAGUCUAACAUCUAUGCGAGUGUUUGGGUGUCAAGCCCGAGCGCGCAAUGAAAGUGAACGGAGGUGGGAACCCGUAAGGGCGCACCAUCGACCGAUCCUGAUGUCUUCGGAUGGAUUUGAGUAAGAGCAUAGCUGUUGGGACCCGAAAGAUGGUGAACUAUGCCUGAAUAGGGUGAAGCCAGAGGAAACUCUGGUGGAGGCUCGCAGCGGUUCUGACGUGCAAAUCGAUCGUCAAAUUUGGGCAUAGGGGCGAAAGACUAAUCGAACUAUCUAGU
rnacentral:rRNA from 1 species